GAGGGGCGGUUCAACCAGCAAAAACUGCUAAUUCUUGCAUCUGAGUUUAAAAUCUCAGCCCCCUUA
rnacentral:tRNA from 1 species